CAUUCAGGCUUGCAGAUGUCAGAAACGGUCGGGAGUGAAAAUGAAGUGAUUUCACUACUUCAACAAAUAAGAAACUACAAAGAAUUUGAAGAUAUUGAUGACCAUCUUGAAUAUUACAAUGAAAAUAAAGAUUUGGAGGAUGCGGUCAUCGAUAGCAUUAUAUAAAGGCAGUCCAUUAUCUGCACUAGAUGUUCCUUCUGCAUGGCAUGAUGUAAGGCAGACCAAAGUGCACAUACACCUGGUCGCAUCCUCUUAGAGUUCAAGAUCUCCUGUCUGUUAUGGAUCUUCCAGCCAAGUCUAGGUAUUGAAGAGUGAAGAUUUGCCAAAGUGCGGAAACCCGAAGGAUCGAGUAAAGUUGGUGUCAUCCGUGGUAAUAGAGGAUCAACCUUAUUGGAUCUUCGGUCAAGGAAAUACUAACCUGCAUCUGAGAUAAUCCCUGCUGUAGGAGCAGAAAGGGUUGGGCGCAGUGUUAUUUGCCAAGGAAAAGGUCAGUUCCUUCAAGCCGUUUUUAUUUCCUUCAUCAUGAAUCCUUUGGGCAAGACAUAUUUCAGCUAGGAUCAGCAGUAACAUCACAUCGUCGAGGAAUUUGUUACUUCAGGAAUGUCUCUCCCAAUUGACUGUAUAAAUCAUUUGGACUUACACAUUUAUCACUUUAAGAACUGUGUUUGCAUUUAUCGUUUUAA